rnacentral:rRNA from 1 species
UGGGGAAUAUUGCACAAUGGGCGCAAGCCUGAUGCAGCCAUGCCGCGUGUAUGAAGAAGGCCUUCGGGUUGUAAAGUACUUUCAGCGGGGAGGAAGGGAGUAAAGUUAAUACCUUUGCUCAUUGACGUUACCCGCAGAAGAAGCACCGGCUAACUCCGUGCCAGCAGCCGCGGUAAUACGGGGGGUGCAAGCGUUAAUCGGAAUUACUGGGCGUAAAGCGCACGCAGGCGGUUUGUUAAGUCAGAUGUGAAAUCCCCGGGCUCAACCUGGGAACUGCAUCUGAUACUGGCAAGCUUGAGUCUCGUAGAGGGGGGUAGAAUUCCAGGUGUAGCGGUGAAAUGCGUAGAGAUCUGGAGGAAUACCGGUGGCGAAGGCGGCCCCCUGGACGAAGACUGACGCUCAGGUGCGAAAGCGUGGGGAGCAAACAGG